GGAUCAAUUAAAAAAUUAUCUUAACUCACGGACCAAAGAGAGAGACCAGUUACAGAAUAGUCUAAAUACCAGGACCACUGAGAGAGACCAGCUACAGAAUAGUCUCAAUACCACAACCACUGAGAGAGACCAGUUCAAAACGAGGCUUAGGUUCUAUGAGAAACCCUGUCUGGAUGGAUGGUGGAAGUUUGGCACCAGCUGUUAUUAUGUCUCCUCCACGAUGGACUCAUCUGGGGCCGGUCAGAGGGAGUGCAGAACAAUGGGAGGAGAGUUGGUUAUUAUAAACAGCAGAGAAGAACAGAUAUUUAUCCACGGAUUUAAGAAGAAUGUCUGGAUUGGUACAUAUAAAAAAGACAGAAUCUGGCAGUGGGUUGGCAGCACACCAUUUAAACCUACGUAUUGGAUGGAAGGGGAACCUAAUAACUUGAAUGACGAGGCGGCUUGUGUUGAGAUCUCACAGACGGCAUCAGACCCAUUGAAGAGUUGGAAGGAUGGACCGUGUAUUCCAAAACACUGGGUGUGUGAAAAACCGUUCACACCGUAGUCUAAUUAUAGUAGCGAAGGUAACCCCAUAUCUUAUGGAGUUGUUCUGGUUUUGCCUGUUAAUCUUAACCUGUUUUUGUUUCUAUGUGGAACUAACUACAUUGAAAGAUGUAUUCCUGUCUUUAAAGAGACCAGUGCUAUGUGGAGUCUACCGUUUAUCAGGCCCAGGGGAGUGGAACUGUGGUCUCGUAGGCUCUAACUGUGGUUUACAUUUUUACCUAUAUGGUGUACAUAUACCAAUUUAACAAGAUACUGUUUCAUUGAAGUUUUUACAGUUAUCAAUCCAUUUGAAAUGCAGCAGUGUUCUAUGUUUGCUUCCAUUAUGUUCCAUGUGUUCCAUGUGUUCAUUCUACUGAUUAAAUACAUCUAUAUACUGUGA